UCGUCAGAGACACCUUUCGCUGUUGCUUGUUUUACCAUCGCACGCAGUUGCCCCAGCUGUGCUAGGUGCUGUACAAACAGGACAGACAGUUCGAGGGCACGGGCUGAAGACGAAAUCCCCUCGUGGCUCUUUGGCUCAGACGUAGGCACCCAUGCUGGGUUGUCAUGGGGACGGGAAGGGCCUUGAUAAUCAGUGUUGUGGCAGGGGAAGUUCCGGGGUCACGCUCUGUCCCAAAACCCCGCCCCGCGGAGCAUCACGGGAGUCAGGACACUGCUCCGAUCCCCUCCCCCUGUUACCCUCACGCAGAGGCAGCUGGAAGCGUUCUCCUUCCCGUUCUCCCUCGUUCCGGAUGAGCCCCAUUCCCGCCCCCUGAGCACAAUCGAUCUCUAUGGGUCAGGCCGCUCCCUCAGCCCCAUGAGCCUCUAUGGUUCCAUUUUGGGAGCCGAACUCCAAACCCUCCAGGGUCCGGCGCUCUCCGGCAGACCUACGCCUCGCUUCCCGGCGCUGACACUUAGUCUCCUCUUCUGAUGACGCAUCAUACCAGGAAGUCCUCCAGGAGACUCCCUUGGCCCGGUAGGCGAUGUACUUCCUUCCGAUAAUAUCAUGGCUGAACCCAAGAAAAAAUGUAGACAAUAUAGUAUUGAAUAUUUGAACUAUGGCUUUAUUCAGUCGCCUACAAACAAAACAUUACCAAUGUGCCUGAUUUGCCAAAAAGUUUUAUCAAAUGAAGCUAUGAACCUUCAAGACUACAAGAACAUUUGACAAAAGUUCAUGCUGAUAAGAAAGAUAAGGAUUUAUCUUAUUUUCAAGCAUUUAAAGAAAAAUUUUUGAGACAGCCGACAUUGGCAAAACUCUUUUCAAUAGCAUCCAAAUAAGAUGACGAUGGGUUGCGUGCUUCUUACAACAUUUCGUUACUGAUUGCUAAAUCGGGAAAACCGCAUACUAUUGGUGUAGAACUAAUUCUACCGGCUAUAAGUGAGGUAAUACGCACUAUACUACACAAGCCAGCGUCUGAUAUUACCAAGAAAAUUUCUUUGAGCAAUAAUACAGUGCAAAGAAGAAUUGAUGAAAUGGCUCAAGAUGUUGAAGACUCAUUAUGUGAGUAUUUAAAAACAUCCCAGUUCUCUAUACAGCUUGAUGAGUCAACUUUGCCAGGAAAUGAAGCCUUACUUUUAGCAUACAUGCGAUUCAUAAAAGAAGAAAAAAAUUGCCAAGAAUUAUUAUUUGUUAAAAAUUUGCAAACUGAUACUAAAGGAGAAUCGAUAUUUCAUGCAUUGGAAGAGUUUUUUUUAAAGAAAAAGAAAUCCCCCCUGAGUAAUAUCUUGUCAGUUGCUACUGAUGGUGCUCCAGCGAUGAUAGGGCGCUAGAGGGGUUUUCUUGCAUAUUUAAAAAAAGCGGUUCCGAAUGUAUUCGCUGUACACUGUGUCAUUCAUCGUGAACAUUUAGUUGCCAAAAAUCUGAGUGAACCCCUACAUAGGUCAUUGUAUUAUGUCAUUAAAACAAUCAACAAAACCAGAAGCAAUUCACUGAAUGACAGAUUGUUUGGACAACUUUGUAUUGAAAACGAUGAAGAAUUCAAUCGCUUGCUGCUUCAUACAGAAGUUCGUUGGCUAUCAAAAGGUGCCUGUUUGGACUGGUUUUAUAAACUCUUUGACUCAGUGCUAGAGUUCCUAGAAAACAAAGAUGAUGCUUUACGAGUCAACUUGAUUGAUUCCAAAAAUGACAUAGCUUAUUUGACAGACUUAUUUAAUAAAUUUAAACAAACAAAUUUACAGCUCCAAGGCGAUGAGCUGAAUUUAAUCAAAACAAAAACUUAUUUCCGUGUUUGUGGCAAAACUUCUUCUGUACAAAUGAAAUUUAGGACAAGGAGAAUUCAGCCAGUUUCCAAAUUUAUCAACAGUAGAAAAACAUGAUGAAGACUUGCUUACCUACUGUCAGCACUUGGAGGCUCUCCAUUCUGACUUCAAUCAACCAUUUGAAGAUAUUCUUAAAAUGAACAUACCCGAUUGGGUUUUGGACCCUUUUUCAAGUACAAACACAGAAGAAUCUCCAAAAUUACAAGAAGAACUGAUAGAAGUAACAACAAAUGAGGAAUUUAAAUUUAAAUUCAAAGACAGCUACCAACAAUUUUGGCUGCAAAAGCAGAUACCUACACUUUAUCCUGGAUUAUGGGCUAUAGUACAAAAGUUUUUAAUUGCAUUUCCUUCGUCAUAUUUAGUGGAACGUGGGUUCAGUGCGGUCACAAAUCUGUUAACUAAAAAAAGAAACCGACUGAAAAUAGCUAAUCGCGGUGAUUUAAGAAUGCUGCUGACAAAAAUAGAGCCGAACAUUAAUAAAUUGAUAGCAGCGCACCAGGUUCAUCCUUCUCAUUAGGAUUAUUUUUAAUGUUAUUCGUCAUUUUUAUUUUAAUAUUAUCCUUCGUUAUCUUAAUUUUCUGUGUGUAAUGUGAAUGUUACUAUGGUUGAUUUUAAUAAAUAAUUUUAUAAUUUCAA